rnacentral:rRNA from 1 species
ACAGCAGUAGCCGCGGUAAUACGAACCGUGCAAACGUUACUCGGAAUCACUGGGCUUAAAGCGCACGUAGGCGGCGACAUAAGUUAGAGGUGAAAUCCCAUCGGCUCAACCGUGGAACUGCCUCUAAUACUGUGUUGCUUGAGGGAGAACGAGGCAUUCGGAACUUCCGGUGGAGCGGUGAAAUGUGUUGAUAUCGGAAGGAACGCCGGUGGCGAAAGCGGAAUGCUGGGUCUCUUCUGACGCUGAGGUGCGAAAGCUAGGGGAGCAAAUGGGAUUAGAUACCCCGGUAGUCCCUGUCUCUUAUA